GAUGCUCAACAUCUUUAGUCAUUAGGAAAAAAUAAAUCAAAACCACAAUGAAAUACUUCACACCCAUUAGGAUAGCUAUAAUUUUAAAAAAUAAGGGUUGGUGAGGAUGUAGAGAAUUGGAACCCUUGUAUUUUGCUAGUGGGAAUUUAAACUGGUACAGCUGCUGUGGAAAAGUUUGGCAGCUCCUCAAAAAGUUAAACAGAGAAUUACCAUAUGACCCAGCAAUUCCACUGCUAGAUAUAUACCAAAACAAUUGAAAACAGGUUCUCAAAUACUUGUACACACAUGUUCAUAGCAGCACUACUCACAAUGGCCAAAAGGUGAAAACAACACAAAUACCCAUCAACAACUAAAUGGAUAAACAAAAUGUAAAAAGAUCACUUUGAAGAAAAACUGAAAUUGCCUCUAAUGUGAAAAAGCAACUUACGCAAAUCUUAAUGCUUGCCAGGAACAACUUAGCAAAAAGGCAAGGAUGGAAGUGAGCUAACCAGCCCACAACAACUCAAUGUUGCAUUUAUUUGGUAACAGGUGAGCUCUUUUCUAAGGUGACUGACAUGCACAGAAGAAAACAGAGCAGGAGUGGGAUCUAAGUGAACUGCCAAGCAUUUCAGCCUCUUCAGAGAACAAGUUCAUCAAGAACAACUGAUUUGAGAGUCUGGCAAACUGCCAACUGCAACACAUUCAUCCACCAACAAGAACAAAAAGGACUUUUGCUUUCCUUCUUCUCUGAGCAUACUGAUAAAAAGUAACAGCUGCCACCCCUUCUCCAAGAUACUUGAUUAUGAUCAUUUCCCACAGCCAAGAGCUUGCUCUGAAACUUCCACAUCAUUCUUCAGAAUGUAUUCUGGAGAUUACCUAAAGAUUUCAGAUAUAUUGAUUGUAAACUGUUAUCUACACAAAGUAUCUCAAAAUAAGCCCACCGAUUAGUGCCAGUUGUUCUGAAAGAUUGAAUGACUCCAGCUAUUUACCAACUUUUUUCCAGCCUCAAAAAGGCAAAACACUCUGAGAUCCUGUCUAUUUUCUAGACAGGCAAACAGCCAAACUCUCUGGUUCAGUUCCACUCUCAGGUACAGAGCCAGCACUAUAUAGACCAUAAACUUACAUAUGGCACUUUUCCUUUUUUGUAAUUGUGCUGCUGUAUUUAGCAGACCCCACAUCUCUCAAAGCAUGUUUCCACAAGAACACAAAGGUUUCAGUAAUCAAAAAUAAUUUAGGAAAUCCUGUAUACCCUUGUCUCCCUCUUAGAGCUUCACCAUGUAUAUUAUAUAUAUUAUAUAUUUCUAUAUAUUAUCUAUAUGUAUAGAAAAGAGACUUCCAUUUUUUGAACUUAACUACUAGCAGUUGCAGCUUAAUCUAAAUUUGCUCUUAACAACUUCAGAUAUUCCUAUACCCUUAAGGGCUACUGACAUCAGCCUUACAGCACUUUUAGCACUUUUAAAUAAAAGACUAAGUACAAAAGCUAGGUGGAUUUAAAGAUGCCUGGUAGAAUGGAUUGAGUUGGCUUAAAAACUUGCUUUUAUAUAAGAACUUUAUGUUGGUUGAUGAGAAAAUAUUAAUUAGGUUCUCUCUCUCUGGAUCCACUUUUACUCCUGCAUCAGAGAUUCUACGCCUAUGUAAAUCUUCCUCAGAGUAUAUGUGGCAGUAACCUGGUCUCCCAGUUCCAGCUAAUUUGACCAAGGAUAGUCACCGGGCACAAGUGGGUUGUGUGGAGUCACCAAUAGGCAGCAACCUCUGACUUACGUGGCCUGACUCAAAAAGAUGAGAGACCCACGUAAAAUUACCAGCUGGAAAUAGGACAGAAGGAUGAAGAUUCAUGAUGCAGAGCCAAGUCAAAUUACGUAAAGACAAAGGACUAGACUGGAAUGAAUGUUGAUGAAUACUUAUGCUGAGGUCCUAGAGCUGCCUUGAGUCCAGAGAGAGAUUCACUGAGGUGGGCCAUGUCGCUGCUCUUGUUUGAGAUCAAUGUUUCUUAAUGUGAUCGAUCCCCUUGUAUUUAAUUAAAUAGCUUGAGUGUGUCUCUAUUUCCUGCAAUCAAACAAUUCUAAAUAAAACAACUGCUUACAAAGUUUUUCAGAGCUCAACAGGACAUAUGCUACAAAAUGAAAUAUGGUAAUGAUUUUAAAUGUAUUAACAAUAAGAUUGUAGAAAUAAAAUACAAACAUUAGAAAGAUGAUUGAUAAUUUAAGACUAAACUGUGGGAUACAGUAUAAAGAGAUCAGAUCACUGUACUUCAUGAGAAAAAACAUGAAUUUUUGAGACCCGGGAUUCAGGGUUUUGACAGGAAAGAGAUGGCACAUCUAAAAGGUUUAAUUCAAGAACGUUUAACGAUAAAUUUUUUAAAAAUGUUUAAUAAAACUUUUGAGGUAAUGAAUAUGAUCAUUAUAUUGAUUGUGGUGGUAGUUUUAUAGUGUAUAUUGUGAAAACUCAACAAAUGGUACACUUUAUUAAAUAGAUAGUUUCCUGAAUGUCAGCUAUGCCUCAAUAAAGCUAAAAAAAAUGUUAACGAAAGAACUACUUACAGAGUGUGAGCAGAGUCAAGGGUAAAGCAUCUAUCUAUAGGCAAGCAAUUCCGAGAAGCCAUUACCACCCUAGGCCUGAAGGAGCACAGGGAGAUUUCACAGAAAGUCAUCAGAGCUGGGGGCAUAAACAUGGGGCCAGCAGUUUACAAACUAUUUGUUGUCAUCCACUAGAGAUAAGUUGAGAAACUGAGAGUGAGUGUUUAGAAACUUCUUUAGUAAUUUAACAGAUUAAUGUUAUAUUUGUUGACUCAAAUAAUAUAAAACCUGAAAAUUA